CGGCCUUGGCUUUAUUGUAAGAUUAAGGAAUGUUCAACUCAGGAAUCGCUUCUUUCAAUAAAUCCAAGAGAGAAGUAAAAGAAGCAUUGCUCCAUCCAUGGAGACACUUCAACAAGUAUAAAUGAAUUGUGAAUGAUAAUUUUGAGAAACCUUUACAACCUGGAUAUAGUUCUUGGCUUGCCUCAUCAACUAAGUUAUAAAAAUCUG
rnacentral:lncRNA from 1 species